rnacentral:rRNA from 1 species
UUAAGCGACUAAGCGUACACGGUGGAUGCCCUGGCAGUCAGAGGCGAUGAAGGACGUGCUAAUCUGCGAUAAGCGUCGGUGAGGUGAUAUGAACCGUUAUAACCGGCGAUUUCCGAAUGGGGAAACCCAGUGUGUUUCGACACACUAUCAUUAACUGAAUCCAUAGGUUAAUGAGGCGAACCGGGGGAACUGAAACAUCUAAGUACCCCGAGGAAAAGAAAUCAACCGAGAUUCCCCCAGUAGCGGCGAGCGAACGGGGAGGAGCCCAGAGCCUGAAUCAGUGUGUGUGUUAGUGGAAGCGUCUGGAAAGGCGCGCGAUACAGGGUGACAGCCCCGUACACAAAAAUGCACAUAUUGUGAGCUCGAUGAGUAGGGCGGGACACGUGGUAUCCUGUCUGAAUAUGGGGGGACCAUCCUCCAAGGCUAAAUACUCCUGACUGACCGAUAGUGAACCAGUACCGUGAGGGAAAGGCGAAAAGAACCCCGGCGAGGGGAGUGAAAAAGAACCUGAAACCGUGUACGUACAAGCAGUGGGAGCCUCUUUAUGGGGUGACUGCGUACCUUUUGUAUAAUGGGUCAGCGACUUAUAUUCUGUAGCAAGGUUAACCGAAUAGGGGAGCCGAAGGGAAACCGAGUCUUAACUGGGCGUUAAGUUGCAGGGUAUAGACCCGAAACCCGGUGAUCUAGCCAUGGGCAGGUUGAAGGUUGGGUAACACUAACUGGAGGACCGAACCGACUAAUGUUGAAAAAUUAGCGGAUGACUUGUGGCUGGGGGUGAAAGGCCAAUCAAACCGGGAGAUAGCUGGUUCUCCCCGAAAGCUAUUUAGGUAGCGCCUCGUGAAUUCAUCUCCGGGGGUAGAGCACUGUUUCGGCAAGGGGGUCAUCCCGACUUACCAACCCGAUGCAAACUGCGAAUACCGGAGAAUGUUAUCACGGGAGACACACGGCGGGUGCUAACGUCCGUCGUGAAGAGGGAAACAACCCAGACCGCCAGCUAAGGUCCCAAAGUCAUGGUUAAGUGGGAAACGAUGUGGGAAGGCCCAGACAGCCAGGAUGUUGGCUUAGAAGCAGCCAUCAUUUAAAGAAAGCGUAAUAGCUCACUGGUCGAGUCGGCCUGCGCGGAAGAUGUAACGGGGCUAAACCAUGCACCGAAGCUGCGGCAGCGACACUAUGUGUUGUUGGGUAGGGGAGCGUUCUGUAAGCCUGUGAAGGUGGCCUGUGAGGGUUGCUGGAGGUAUCAGAAGUGCGAAUGCUGACAUAAGUAACGAUAAAGCGGGUGAAAAGCCCGCUCGCCGGAAGACCAAGGGUUCCUGUCCAACGUUAAUCGGGGCAGGGUGAGUCGACCCCUAAGGCGAGGCCGAAAGGCGUAGUCGAUGGGAAACAGGUUAAUAUUCCUGUACUUGGUGUUACUGCGAAGGGGGGACGGAGAAGGCUAUGUUGGCCGGGCGACGGUUGUCUCGGUUUAAGCGUGUAGGCUGGUUUUCCAGGCAAAUCCGGAAAACCAAGGCUGAGGCGUGAUGACGAGGCACUACGGUGCUGAAGCGACAAAUGCCCUGCUUCCAGGAAAAGCCUCUAAGCAUCAGGUAACAUCAAAUCGUACCCCAAACCGACACAGGUGGUCAGGUAGAGAAUACCAAGGCGCUUGAGAGAACUCGGGUGAAGGAACUAGGCAAAAUGGUGCCGUAACUUCGGGAGAAGGCACGCUGAUAUGUAGGUGAAGCGACUUGCUCGUGGAGCUGAAAUCAGUCGAAGAUACCAGCUGGCUGCAACUGUUUAUUAAAAACACAGCACUGUGCAAACACGAAAGUGGACGUAUACGGUGUGACGCCUGCCCGGUGCCGGAAGGUUAAUUGAUGGGGUUAGCGGUAACGCGAAGCUCUUGAUCGAAGCCCCGGUAAACGGCGGCCGUAACUAUAACGGUCCUAAGGUAGCGAAAUUCCUUGUCGGGUAAGUUCCGACCUGCACGAAUGGCGUAAUGAUGGCCAGGCUGUCUCCACCCGAGACUCAGUGAAAUUGAACUCGCUGUGAAGAUGCAGUGUACCCGCGGCAAGACGGAAAGACCCCGUGAACCUUUACUAUAGCUUGACACUGAACAUUGAGCCUUGAUGUGUAGGAUAGGUGGGAGGCUUUGAAGUGUGGACGCCAGUCUGCAUGGAGCCGACCUUGAAAUACCACCCUUUAAUGUUUGAUGUUCUAACGUUGGCCCGUAAUCCGGGUUGCGGACAGUGUCUGGUGGGUAGUUUGACUGGGGCGGUCUCCUCCUAAAGAGUAACGGAGGAGCACGAAGGUUGGCUAAUCCUGGUCGGACAUCAGGAGGUUAGUGCAAUGGCAUAAGCCAGCUUGACUGCGAGCGUGACGGCGCGAGCAGGUGCGAAAGCAGGUCAUAGUGAUCCGGUGGUUCUGAAUGGAAGGGCCAUCGCUCAACGGAUAAAAGGUACUCCGGGGAUAACAGGCUGAUACCGCCCAAGAGUUCAUAUCGACGGCGGUGUUUGGCACCUCGAUGUCGGCUCAUCACAUCCUGGGGCUGAAGUAGGUCCCAAGGGUAUGGCUGUUCGCCAUUUAAAGUGGUACGCGAGCUGGGUUUAGAACGUCGUGAGACAGUUCGGUCCCUAUCUGCCGUGGGCGCUGGAGAACUGAGGGGGGCUGCUCCUAGUACGAGAGGACCGGAGUGGACGCAUCACUGGUGUUCGGGUUGUCAUGCCAAUGGCACUGCCCGGUAGCUAAAUGCGGAAGAGAUAAGUGCUGAAAGCAUCUAAGCACGAAACUUGCCCCGAGAUGAGUUCUCCCUGAGACUUAGAGUCUCCUGAAGGAACGUUGAAGACGACGACGUUGAUAGGCCGGGUGUGUAAGCGCAGCGAUGCGUUGAGCUAACCGGUACUAAUGAACCGUGAGGCUUAACCUU